GUGCUGUGAUGAAAUUUUUUGGUGUCGGAGACUUUUGGUCGUUGAUGGUUUACACAACCCUCUAAGAAGUUCUGAGCAC